rnacentral:rRNA from 1 species
CUACGGGGUGCAGCAGUAGGGAAUCUUGCGCAAUGGGCGAAAGCCUGACGCAGCAACGCCGCGUGAACGAUUAAGCCCUUCGGGGUGUAAAGUUCUGUCAGUGGGGACGAAACUUGACGGUACCCACAGAGGAAGCACCGGCUAACUCCGUGCCAGCAGCCGCGGUAAUACGGAGGGUGCAAGCGUUGUCCGGAAUCAUUGGGCGUAAAGAGUUCGUAGGUGGCAUAUUAAGUCUGGUGUUAAAGGCAGAAGCUCAACUUCUGUAAGGCACUGGAUACUGGUAAGCUUGAAUGUGGUAGAGGUAAAGGGAAUUCCUGGUGUAGCGGUGAAAUGCGUAGAUAUCAGGAGGAACAUCGGUGGCGAAAGCGCUUUACUGGGCCAUAAUUGACACUGAGGAACGAAAGCCGGGGUAGCAAAUGGGAUUAGAUACCCCUGUAGUC